ensembl:lncRNA
ACACUACCUCAGAACUGCCGUCAAAGUGAACCAGCACAGGACUCUCAGAUGACCUGCUACACAGCUUUGUUUUUAAAUUUACAAGGCAAAAGAACAUGGAGAACAAAGACAGCAGGAUGACAACAGAAUGGAACUCAACAAUGGAAAACAGAAAGCAAUCAGAUAGCAAACAAACAAGAACUGACAUGAAAACCCAAAAAGAAACUUUAAAAAGACAAAGGCAACUGAUAUGUCAAGCAAUGGAGGAGAUCGAACAACUCUGGAGACAGACAGAAAGAAAGACAAAUGAAAUUGACUUCUUAAAGACAAAGACAGAGGGGCAACAGGAAGACAUUGAGAGACUGACAUCUGAAAAAAAUAAACAUCACCUACUAUUAAAGCAAUUUAACUUCCAAAUAAAAAAUAUAACUGAGAAACUCAAACAAAGCAAAAAUUCAGUUGCUAAGGAAAAAACAAACUUUCUGAAAACGUGGACUAAAAUAUAUCAAGAAAAGGAUACUCUGGACAGAAGACGUCAAUACUUCAUCAACGAGCGACACAAGCUAGACACUAUAAAAGCUAGUAAGACAGAAUCACCAAUAAGGGAGGAACCCAAAGAGCCCCUUAAUGAGCAGGUAAAGCGGGAACUGGAUAUACUGGAGAAUGCAACUGAGAAAAACAGGGAAAUAAUGCUUGAAGUAAAGAAAGUUAAAGAAAAAAUGGAGAAAACUAAAGCAAACAUACAGCAAGCAUUAAAAAGAAAUAAAAAGGACAUUUCAAAAAACAGUGAACAAAUUAACCACAUUAAACAUAUUAUGUAUGUAAAGAUCAACAUGGUCAAGCACAGAUGGGCAAGCAUUAUAAAACAGGCUGAAAUGAAGAAAAUUCACAUGUAUAAAGAAGGACAGAGAGAAAGAAACGAUGGAAAAGCCACAUUUGACACAGUGAAGAGAAAACUGUGUAGAAUCCAGGAAGAGAUGGAGAAACUUUGGGAUGUGCUGGAAGACAGUGAACAACAACUGGAAGUGACUCAAAGUGCAAAGCAGCAGCUAAUGGCAGAGAACAAUCACAUGAACAUCAAGAUGAAUAUUGAUUAUCAAAAGCAACAAGAUUCAGAUCUAAGCUUUAAAGUGACACACAUCCAGCCUGAAAGAGAUGAUUUAAAGAGAGUUGAAAUGAAACUAAAGACAGGAAGGGAAAAUGUAGAAAAAGACAAACCAAAUACUUACAUGCAGAAUUUGAUCUCUGAGGAAGAAGAAAACAAUGAAGUGCUUUGUAACAAGGGUGAAGAAACAAAGCAGAGCAUGAGGGACUUUACAGAAGUAAAGGCUCAAACGAAAUGGACAAAUUUUCGAGAAAAGCAAAAAAGAAGGGAGCUUGAGCGUUUGCUGGAGAAGAUAAGGAAAGAGAGGGAUGAGUUAGAAAUCAUGAAGACAAAAAUACAGCGACAAAAGGAAAGGGUUGAACAAAAACUGGAAAAUACUGUCACUGAGAUAAAAGGUAAAAUAGAAAAAACUGGUGCAGAAAUGAACAACACUUGGGAGAAAAUGCAGAGAACCCAAAGGGAGAUUAGUAAGAACCAGGAAGAAGCCAAGAACUAUAUGGAAAAACUGACAUCCAUGAAAACUUGGGUCAACAAAUGGAUAUUGGCACAAUCUACAAUCAAACAUACUUUUUCAGUGAACGCAUCCAAACUUCAAGAAUCACAGUAUGAAAUAGACACAGACUCCCUUGAGGAUCAAACAUCAGCAAUUCCAAAGGACAAAAAAGGGAAAAAAAGUAUAACAGAUACAACAUCAUUACAAAAUUCUGUAACAUUAGAUGAUCAGCAUCAAAAUAAAAAAAUAAAAGAACAACAGAAGGAGCAUUUUGAAUCCAAAUAUUGUUUUGCAGAAGGCAAAAAUGGGGAGCAGGACUUUUGCUUACAGAUGCGAACUGAAAUUCAUGAAGAAGUAGUGCAUGAUAAAACUGAAUUACUGAUAAUUGUAAGAGAAAGGGAAGAAGUGGAAAAACUGAUACGUAACCUAAAGCAGCAAGAGGGGGAAAUAAAGGAACAAAUAAAGUACACUAUUGAUAACAUGAACGAAAAAACUCAAGAUAUAAAAAGGCUCAUUUUGGAAAUAAAUGACCUGCAGAGGGCAGACACUGUAAUUACAGUCGGGGAAACUGAAAAUGCCCAGGAAGUAUUAACUAAGCUGUUGGAAGAAACUGAACAGAGAAAGAUUUUGAUGCUGAACACCAAAGUUUUCAAAAAUGAAAUAAUAAAAUAUGAAGUACAAGAGGGGGACGAUGCCAAAAAAAUAAAACAAGAGUCUAGCUUGAUAAGGCUUAAUGUUAACAAGCAAAAACUAAUUCAGAAAUCAGGAGAAGAGAUGAAAAAACAUGUUGAACACACCGAUGAAGAUAAAAAGGACAGAGGAGCCGAUAUACAAAGACUCAGGGCAGAGAUUUACAAAACACAAGAGAUUAUAAGAACGCUAAGAGGAGGACUUGAGAACCUAGCGGAAAAAAAUAACAUGGACAAAUAUCAACAGAAUGAAGGCAGUGAAAUUGAAGGAUUGCUAAAAGACAUCAAACAGUUUCAAGAGUUUUUGGAAAUUGUAAAAACCAAAAUAAAGCAAAGUGAAGUACAUAUGACAGAAGAAAUGAGCAAUAUAAAAUCAAUGAAAACUGCAGUGAAAAAGAAGAGAAGAGAAUUAGAUCAAAGAUUAGAAAAUACUUUGAAAGAGAGAGAUGGAUUAGACAUCUUUAAAAUAAAAAUGCAGAGGCAAACUGAACUGAUUCGGCAGAAUUUAGAAAAAAUGGCAAAAGUUAAGAGCACAGUCGAGAAAAUAGCUGCUAAGACCAGAAGGAAAAUUGAAGAGAUAGAAAUUAGUAUGAAGGAGACUGAAAUAAAACUAAGACAGUUUAAAGACCUUGACUGCAUUAACCUUAACUUGACAAAAGGCGCAAAACCAGACAUGGAACAUGGUAGUACACCUAAGCAAAGAACUGCUCUUGAAAUUUUCAAGACUGAAAUUAAGAAGACAAUGGACAAUAAAAGAGAUAAACUGACAAAAAACAAAAUGGACAAAGAAACUGAGGGAACAGAAAGCCUCAAACAAGUUAAUGAGAAACUGGAGGAGGUAAAACUUUCAUUAGACAGUCUGGGUCAAAAAAAUAAAAAAUCAGUUAGUGAGAAUGUAAAACAAAUAAUCAAGAGAGAAGAGACUGAGAUGACAGAACAGAUCCAAACAGCGAUAAAGAAUGAGAAAAUGGUUAAACAGCUAACUGAAACAGAAAUACAGGAGGAACAGGUGAACCAUUUGAGGGAGAAAACUGAAAGAAAAGAACAGGAGCUUGAUGACGGAGUACACAUGACCAAAAGGCAAAUAAGAGAAAUGGAGCUGCUGCAAUCAGAAUUGAAAAUAAAGGUAAAAGAAUUUGAGCGUUUUUUUAGAAAAAGUAUGAGAAAAAAGGAGGAAAUUGAAAUAAUGUGGUAUGAAAUACAACAAGAAAAGGAAGCAUUGAGGACCGAGAUCAAAAAGAAAAGAAGAGAAUUAGACCAAAGACUGGAGAUGACUAUGAGAAAAAGGGAUGAACUAGAAGUGUUAAGGGUAAAAUUGAAACGACAGAUGGAAGAGCUGGCUGAGGAGAAGCAGAGAGACCAUAAUCUGUUCAUCCAUCUACCCAAUGAACAUGAAAAACAUUUUGGAAGGAAAGAUGUGAAAAUGUUAAUGGAGAAAAUCAAAAACCACAGCUUAAAAGUUUCUCAGUAUACUAUUUACAUCCAAGACAUAAGAGACAAGUUUAAUUUACACAUGGGAACAAUUAGGACAGAGAUGAAAAUUCUAGAAAAUGUGAAUGCUCAUUUAGAAAAGGACAAAAAAGGAUUCAGAGAAGUUGAGGCUGAAAAUAAGAAUAUAACAAACAAAAUGAAGAGGUUAAAAUAUCAGCUUAAUAUACUCUUUGGAAGAGUUACCAUACAAGACACUGCAGAGAUGGAUGAAACAAUCAACAUCUGGGAAAAAAUCCAAAGAGAAAAACAGAAGCUUGAUAUGAGACUAGAAAAUAUUAAAAGGGAAAGACAAGAGAUAGAAGUUCUGGUGGUUGAGCUGGAGAUGAAGAAAAGAGAAAACCAACGUGUAAUCAAAAGAAGCAUUCAAAAAGAACAGAAGAUAAAAAGAAUAUGGGCUACUUUCAAAGAAGAAAGAACUGCCCUCGUGAGAGAAACAAAGCAGAAAAAGGAGGUUGAACAACGACGAGAGGAGAUCAUCAAACAUCAAGGUGAACAAGAAAUAAAGCAGAAGUUGCAAAAAGAAAAGAAAGGGAUGCAAAGUGAAAUUGAAGACAUGAGGAUGAAAGAAAAAAGGAAACAAAUUCAAAAACAAUGGGAACUAAUCAAGAAAUACUUAGGGGAAUAUAAAAAGGUAAUUAAAAACACUCAAUUCAUCAUUGGAAUAAUUCAGAAUGAAAAUAAACACAUGCAAGACCAAAAAAAUUUCUACAUGACCAAAAGGAAAGAAACACUGAAUAUUAAAAGUGAAUUAAAUAGGCAAAAGGAAAUUAUACGGUGUGCAUUAAAAAACAUACAACAAGAGCCAAAACAUGGGGAACAAGUGGAGACAAAAAUCAAGACGGAGCAAGGAAAGCAUGAAAAUGAAAGGGAAAAAAUAUAUGAGAUAGAAAAAGAUGCCUUGGAUGACUUAAGUGCAGACGAGAGUCAAGACAAAGAGGAUCUUGAAAGAGUGAAAGAGUUGUUGAAAAAGAACCAGAAACUUGACAUGAGAGGCUGUAAAAUCAAAAAAGAAAUAGACAUAUUAAAACAAAAAAAUGAAAACAUAAAAGAGGAAAGGAAAACAACUGAAAUAAAAGAAACUGAAAAAAAAAUGAAACUGAAAGAUUUCAAUAAAAUGUUUUGGGGCAAACAAAAAGAAAAACACAGUACUGAGUAUCUGACUGUAAAGAAAGAAUAUAAAAGAGAAACGACUAAGGAUGGUAUAAAAAGGGUGAUCUUACAAGACACAAAACAAGACUUGAUAAAAAAAGAGAUAAAAAAAUGUAACCAGGAAAAAGAAAAAGUCAUCCAGAUGAAAACUAGACGUGAGAAUAGAAAAGAACUGUUGUUGAAGGUAAGGAGAAACAUCAAAGAUGAAGAGAAAGAGAUGGAAAUGAGAGGAGACCAAGUCAUGGAUGAAAUGAAAUCGCUAGAGAUUCUGAAAGUGAAACUUCAACAACUGAAGGGGGAUAUAAAAGCCAAAAUGGAGAGAUUACUACAAAAUGUUGACAACAGGUCAAGGCUGCAAACAGUGUUGGAAGAAAAACUUCCAACCCAAGACGAACUGAAAGAAAGCAUUCGCUGUUUCACUGAAAUGUUAGAGAGAGAAAAGGAAGGUGUGAGAAGUAUCCUUUCAGACAUGGUCACCAAGAGAGAAUGCACAGAAAAUGAAUGGAAGCAGCAGUUUGAACUGGACAAACGAGAGCUUGAUAAAGUGAAAGAAGAUCUGAGACACGACAGAGAAGAUCUGGAGAGAGAAAGUGAGGUGCUGAAUAAAGAGAAAAUGGAUUUGAAGGUGUUGAUGUCUGACAUCAUGAAACAAUUUGAAAUAUUGGAAGAAAAGAAACAAAAUAUAAAAGAAGAACGAGACUCAAUGGAAACCAUAAAGCUUGAACUGCUCAAUAAGAUGGAACAUGUAAACAGGCUGUUACAUGAGACAAAUGACGAAAAAGCCAAGAUUAAAAAUUGUAUCCUUCAGGUUCAAAUGGAAAAAGAAAGACUUGAAGACAUUUUAAGCAAGAUUUUCUUAACACAUAAUGAAGAAAAAGUCAAGGAAUAUGGCCUCAGAAGACAAACAAAAGAAGUGGAAAUCAUGAAAAAGGAAUUACAGAGUGAAAGAGCAAAAGUGGAGAGUCUGAUGAGGAAUCUGAAGAAGAAGCAAGAAGAGCUUGAACGUGCAAAGGAAAUCAUGAGUGGAGAAAAAGAAGAGAUGAAAGAGAUGAAGACUGACAUUGCCAAAGAACGAGAACUGUUGUUGAAGGAAAGGAGAAAUAUGGAAGAAGAGCGGUCUGAGAUGGAAAUGAGAGGAGACCAAGUCAUGGAUGAAAUGAAAUUGCUAGAGAUUCUGAAAGUGAAACUUCAACAACUGAAGGAGGAUAUAAAAGCCAAAAUGGAGAGAUUACUACAAAAUGUUGACAACAGGUCAAGGCUGCAAACAGUGUUGGAAGAAAAACUUCCAACCCAAGACGAACUGAAAGAAAGCAUUCGCUGUUUCACUGAAAUGUUAGAGAGAGAAAAGGAAGGUGUGAGAAGUAUCCUUUCAGAAAUGGUCACCAAGAGAGAAAGCACAGAAAAUGAAUGGAAGCAGCAGGUUGAACUGGACAAACGAGAGCUUGAUGAAGUGAAAGAAGAUCUGAGACACGACAGAGAAGAUCUGGAGAGAGAAAGUGAGGUGCUGAAUAAAGAGAAAAUGGAUUUGAAGGUGUUGAUGUCUGACAUCAAGAAACAAUUUGAAAUAUUGGAAGAAAAGAAACAAAAUAUAAAAGAAGAACGAGACUCAAUGGAAACCAUAAAGCUUGAACUGCUCAAUAAGAUGGAACAUGUAAACAGGCUGUUACAUGAGACAAAUGACGAAAAAGCCAAGAUUAAAAAUUGUAUCCUUCAGGUUCAAACGGAAAAAGAAAGACUUGAAGACAUUUUAAGCAAGAUUUUCUUAACACAUAAUGAAGAAAAAGUCAAGGAAGAUGAACUCAGAAGUCAAACAAAAGAAGUGAAAAUCAUGAAAAAGGAAUUACAGAGUGAAAGAGCAAAAGUGGAGAGUCUGAUGAGGAAUCUGAAGAAGAAGCAAGAAGAGCUUGAACGUGCAAAGGGAAUCAUGAGUGAAGAAAAAGAAGAGAUGAAAGAGAUGAAGACUGACAUUGCCAAAGAACAAGAACUGUUGUUGAAGGAAAGGAGAAAUAUGGAAGAAGAGCGGUCUGAGAUGGAAAUGAGAGGAGACCAAGUCAUGGAUGAAAUGAAAUUGCUAGAGAUUCUGAAAGUGAAACUUCAACAACUGAAGGAGGAUAUAAAAGCCAAAAUGGAGAGAUUACUACAAAAUGUUGACAACAGGUCAAGGCUGCAAACAGUGUUGAAAGAAAAACUUCCAACCCAAGAUGAACUGAAAGAAAGCAUUCGCUGUUUCACUGAAAUGUUAGAGAGAGAAAAGGAAGGUGUGAGAAGUAUCCUUUCAGACAUGGUCACCAAGAGAGAAUGCACAGAAAAUGAAUGGAAGCAGCAGUUUGAACUGGACAAACGAGAGCUUGAUGAAGUGAAAGAAGAUCUGAGACACGACAGAGAAGAUCUGGAGAGAGAAAGUGAGGAGCUGAAUAGAGAGAAAAUGGAUUUGAAGGUGUUGAUGUCUGACAUCAAGAAACAAUUUGAAAUAUUGGAAGAAAAGAAACAAAAUAUAAAAGAAGAACGAGACUCAAUGGAAAUCAUAAAGCUUGAACUGCUCAAUAAGAUGGAACAUGUAAACAGGCUGUUACAUGAGACAAAUGAAGAAAAAGCCAAGAUUAAAAAUUGUAUCCUUCAGGUUCAAAUGGAAAAAGAAAGACUUGAAGACAUUUUAAGCAAGAUUUUCUUAACACAUAAUGAAGAAAAAGUCAAGGAAGAUGACCUCAGAAGACAAACAAAAGAAGUGGAAAUCAUGAAAAAGGAAUUACAGAGUGAAAGAGCAAAAGUGGAGAGUCUGAUGAGGAAUCUGAAGAAGAAGCAAGAAGAGCUUGAACGUGCAAAGGGAAUCAUGAGUGAAGAAAAAGAAGAGAUGAAAGAGAUGAAGACUGACAUUGCCAAAGAACAAGAACUGUUGUUGAAGGAAAGGAGAAAUGUGGAAGAACAGCAGUCUGGGAUGGAAAUGAGGGGAGACCAAGUCAUGGAUGAAAUGAAAUCACUAGAGAUUCUGAAAGUGAAACUAAUUGCGAGGAAAUCCCUGAAAGGUGAACUGUCUGAUGUACAACCCAGAGAGGACAUCCUCAGUAGUGUUACAAUCUCUACAAGAAACCUUAUAGGAAAACUAAAUAGACUGAUUCAUCAAGACUUGCCGACAUAUAUUAAGAGAGUAGAGGGGGAAAAUGAAAAAAUAUUACAAGUGAUCUCCACAUAUGAACAAAAUUGGGUCAGAAUUUAUAAGCAGAAAAUUAAAAUUACUGCAGAUUAUGACAAGAUACAACAACAAAAGAAACAUGUGUUUAAGACAACAUUUGACAAAGCAAUCCAAACUGAGGAUGUUGUAAAACAAUGCUUACAUGAGCAUCAGGAUGAAGAGACCAAUGAACAUGAAUUUAAGCAGAGGAUGAAGGAUGUUGCAGUUAAUCUUGAAGGAAGCAAAAGAUACUUGACACCUGACAAGGAAGGUCUGCUGUUAGUAGGAGAAGGUGAAGAAUUUGGAAAUGUCAAGAAAACAAAUCUUGCAACGUUGUCCAUCUUGUCAGCAGAGGAAGAUGACUUCACACAGAAGGGAAUUUUAAAAACUGAGUUUUUGAAACAAAUCUGGAAGGACACUAGAAUAGAACGAAAUGAAAUAAAUCAGAUGAAGCUCAGAGGUCAAGAAAUGAGAAACAAUAUGGAUAAAAGAGUAAAGGUGAUCAAUCAUUUUGUUAGGAGAUCAAUAUUUCAGAAAGAAAAGACAUCAGUUGAGAAAACAAGAAAAAUGUUGGAACAUGGGCAAAGUAAUACGUUUUUAUCUGUAAGUGGCAGGGAUGGAGAACACAAAUCACUUGAUGAAAAAUAUACCGAGCUCCAACAACUUAAGGUCCGCAUGCUUAGUGAGAUUGAGAAAUUCUACAUACAAAACAAAGCGUCUAAGACACUGACAACUAGCAACAAAGCUAAUCAAACAGUUCAACUAGAUUCUCCAAAUAUCUAUCAAGAGCAAAUAAAGGUAGAAGAAUCUGAAGCAGCACCAGAGAGAUCUCCUGGACUCCUCAGUCAGCUCAGACUUUCCUGUUAUCGCUGUUGCUCCCGUUAUUGUGCCUACUGCAAGCAAGGAUGUAUAAAGAAAAAAUGAGAGGCAAGAAAAGUGCUACAUAAAAAUCAGUCCAUUUACCUUUUGUUUUACUUUUUAGUUAUAUUAAUAUGUGUGUAUUUGGAAAAUGUGUUUUUCCCGUUAAUCAUAUUAACCUAACAACGUAAGAGUACCAGUCUGAUGUCAAUCAUCUAAUUUUUAAACAACUAGUUAUGUAAUGUAAAAGUAUUCCUUUAACAUGUUAUUUUUUUCACAAAUGCAAAAUAUUAAAGUUUAACAGAUAAUCUUAACAUUUCUAAUUACAUUUUUAUGCUGAUUUCUAAUUAAUCUUCUUUCAACAUAUUUAUUCUGUUGUCUUGUGUUAGAAUACAGAAGCACAAAGAAUACAGUAAAAUCAAAACUAACAAGAAUAUUUGAAAACUGUGACUCCAUAUAUAUUCAUAUUUAAAUGAAAGAAAAAUGCAUGUUUAACAUAAAUUUGAUCCCUAAAUAAAUCUUUUUCCAAAACCAUUCACAUCACUGCAAUAUUUUUCUUUUGGUAAAUUUCGAAUUAUAUAAGAACCCAAUUGUUUGAAACAUUAUUUAAAUUAAUUACACAGUUAAUUGUAAAUUGACAAAUUAAAUAUAAAACUCAUGCCAUCUAAUUAUCUUCAUUGGGGUAUAUCAUGUACACAUACAUAUAUAUAUAUAUAUAUUUAUAUGUCAUAUAUAAACCCUUUGUCACGGCUGCCGAGGCGAGCCGUGUGGUGUAGAAGGGAGAAAGGACCCAAAACGCAGGCAGUAGAUGAUAAUGCUAGUGAUGUUUUAUUUACACAGUGGUGAGAUGGCAAAACAGGCAAAGAAGGAAGACAAAACUAAAGACCUACACUGGGAAAGCUAAAUGACAAACCUGAGAGGGUUCCAGAAUGGGGGAGAGGCAGUGACGAACCGGCAACAGGCAGGAGAACAUCAAAGCUGACGGGACAGGGGAAACGUAAACUGAACACACUCACAUGAGAUAGAGACCUUCAGAAUAAAACAGGAAACUCACAGACACAGAACUGGACAAGACGCUGAACUAAACAGACAGAUUCACACACAGACAGUGUGACACCAUAGACAGACAGAACACAGAAGUGGAACCAGGGAAAGCACAGAACAGAAACCUAACAAAUGGCAAUUCGUAACAGAAUAUGUAUAAAUGAACAAAAGCAUAAAGAAACAUAAAACACUGAGUCGGCAGACUCAGGACCAUGACACCCUUUGCUACGGUAGUAUAGACCUGGAAAGUGUAGACAAAAUAAACAACACUUGAUUCUGUAACUUGCCUGAUUCUUCAAUACAAUUUUUAUUGUGUUUUUAGUGAAAUGAUUUUCUAUAUAAUAUUUAGAAAAUCCUUAUUAGAAUUCAGAAUCUUUUUUCAAAAGAUUUUAGAAAGUUCUUUCAAUCUUGGGAAAGAGGACCAAUAAGACAACAGGCCUAGUUAGAUCUUUAAAUGAACCCAGCUUCAUUUGUUGAUCUAUCCAACAAGGUUAUAAUGGUUGACACCCUAUCUGAAGCCGAGAUUCUAAUAAUUAAUCCUUUAGGUCAGUGGUUCUCAAACUUUUCACAAUGAGUACCACCGUAUAAAAUAUAUGGUUCUUAAAGUACCACCCUUAUGCCCG